CUUCUGGAUUGCUUAUUGCACCACAUGUGUUUUUCUUUGAAACAAACUUGCUUUGGCGGUGGGCCCAGCCUGCCGCCAGAGGUCUAAACUUACAACCAAUUUUUUAUCAACUUGUCACACCAGAUUAUUACUAAUAGUCAAAACUUUCAACAACGGAUCUCUUGGUUCUCGCAUCGAUGAAGAACGCAGCGAAAUGCGAUACGUAAUAUGAAUUGCAGAUAUUCGUGAAUCAUCGAAUCUUUGAACGCACAUUGCGCCCUCUGGUAUUCCGGAGGGCAUGCCUGUUUGAGCGUCGUUUCUCCCUCAAACCGCUGGGUUUGGUGUUGAGCAAUACGACUUGGGUUUGCUUGAAAGACGGUAGUGGUAAGGCGGGAUCGCUUUGACAAUGGCUUAGGUCUAACCAAAAACAUUGCUUGCGGCGGUAACGUCCACCACGUAUAUCUUCAAACUUUGACCUCAAAUCAGGUAGGACUACCCGCUGAACUUAAGCAUAUCAAUAGCGGGAGGAA
rnacentral:rRNA from 1 species